ensembl:lncRNA
CUGAUUCUUCCAGAGGUCUAACACUAGCCUCUGUAAGUCAGGAAGGCAGCUUAGCAGGCCCACUGGGAAGUAGCAGAUGGAUAGGAAAAUGACAUGCUUUCCAAAAGUAUUUAAAUAUCAACUCUCUUUUGUUACAGCUGUGUAAGAGCCAUAUAAAAUCAAGUAACAUGUAGGAGAGAAAAGGGGUCAUGAAGGAGGAGUUUGAGCAAAAAGUAAUGCUAAAAAAGAAAAAAAAAUCCAUUGCAAAUGGUAAUGUAAAUAAGGACACAAUUGCAACAGAAUUUUCCUUGAAUCAACGGAGGACUAUUACUUGAUGAGAUCAUUGUUUUCAGGAAGUGUUAUAGAAAUGCGAUUACCAGACACUGAGGUUUUUUAACGUAUAAAAUAGGAAAGAGAGAGGACAAGCUGUGGUGAAGAAAAUGCAAGCAUUGUACAACUCAACAGACCUCCUGUCCCAGAGAGAUUUAUUUACUGGAAAUUACGACAAUGAUUUAUGGGCAGCUGGAAUUUGCAUGCAUUGCUCCGAAUCUGUGGAAGAAUCUAUGUGGUUGUUCAUGGCCUUCAGAAACAUGGAUGCUGCAAAGCAGAGCUAUGGAGAAUAUGGAAAGCAGGCUCAAAAAGCAUCUGCAAAUCUGUGCCAAUAUUAUUGCCUCUGUCAUCAAGCAAUGGAAAGGUUUUUCUAGUUAAAUUCAAGUAAUUAAAUCUCCCUGCUCUCAUUAAAAAAAAUACAACUGUCUGCUGCUGGUCUGAAGAAUUGCACAGAGUGAACGUAAAUUUUAAUUUCAUGGUGCAAGUGUUAAAUUAUUGCCAUCUAAGCUGUCUGCCAGUGUUACAUGAAAUCCCACCACAUUUUAAUAAUUCUCCCUUUGUUUUGGAUGGAAAUACCACGUGUUGUGAUUUGGAAGUUUUUAUGUGCAAUUAGAGCCCUGAGAACUACAACAUAAUCACAUUCAAUUCACCUAAUUGGACAGCGAGGAAACUGUCAUUUCUGAAAUGGUUUGUGUCUUUUGGAAUGUCUGUGUGUAUACACAUGCGUAUAAAAUGAAACAUUUUCUCACCCAUCCUGUGUUAAAAUGUAAUAGAAACUCCUGCUAACUGAAGUUGAAGAUAUAGCUGGGUGUUCUUUAGUAACCUCAAAACAUAUACGUGUGCGUGUAAAUAAAAAACUGUCCUUCUAAACACAAGGAUCCUUCCCUCCUACUUACUUUGCAACAUCUUAGUAAGGAUUUGCCAUCAAUUCCCUCUCUUUACAGUGCAUUUGAUGACAUUUUACAGAUCAUCAUACUAAAUAAGUAAGAACCAUCCUCUGAUUUAGAAGAAAAACCUUUAUUUAUUUCAAUUUAUUUUGGGAGUUCAGAAGUAAUGACAAACUUGACAAUCUUCAUGACAAACAUGACAAUCUUCACAUCACUUUAAGCUGUGUGACCAAAAAGCCAUUAGCUUCACAGAAACAGACAAUACAUUUCAUCCUGAAACAACACUUAUGAUCAACAUUUAUGCAAUCUAUAGGUACUUCCUAUAUUUGUAUCAAUGCAAGUAAGAAGACAUGGAGUAUCAAACCAGCAAGGGCUUAGAAAUAUCAAGCCCAAGAGUUUACCCAUUUACUUCAGUGGAAAAUAGUGCUAGUAAAUAUCAAUACAUAUUUUAAUCUUUUAUUUCAGUAAUUUCCAUGUAAAAGCAAACAUAUUCUGCCAACUUUAUUCAUUGUCUUUGAUCUUUUUUUGAAGCAUAUUAUGAUAGAUUUCUGAAUCUUUUAAUUCAAUGUUGAAGUAGAUAUUAAGUAUAUCACAACACCAAUCCACACUAAAUAGAACUUUUGUUUUUUGUUCUUUUGCUGAAAUGUCUGACAGUAUUUCAAGAAUAAUUUAAUUAUGAACUUUAUAUUAACAAAAGACAAGUGAUUUUUUAUUCCAUUCAGUGUGGAAUAAGAUACUACCUAUAUUUGUUAAGCCCUGUGUAUCAACCAGAAUUUGCAAAGGGAAGUUAUCAACUUCAGAUACUCAUUCUCCAUUUCCCAUAAAUAUGUUAAAAAUACAAAGUCAGCUCCUAAGUUUUUCAUCAAAUAAACUAGCUUAUUAAGAUUAAGUGGCCUGAAACCACCAUCUGUGAGUUCACAUUUAUAUCUAGAAAACCUGUAUAAUCAUGUGUAUUGAGAGUAAGGCUUAGUGUUGGAAGGCCCAACCUUGUAAACAAGCUUUGUUUACACAAGAAGACAAUAGGACUCUUCUUUUGUUUCAGAGUUUACAUGUUCAGAGGCUGAGAUCACUAUUUUUGAAAUGUGAUGAUGGGAAUACAAAGUAAUUACCUUUAUGAAGGUUUUACAAAGAAUCCUGUAAGUAAAGCCCAUGACAGAAAUAUAUAGUGUCUCCAAAGAAACAAUUAUGAUGUAUUGUGUUUGAAUAAUAACUCAGAAUGUUUUAUCAUCAUCUGUUUACAUAAUAAGUCAUAAUAACUUUUCAAAAUAUGGUGCUUGCAUUUUUAUUAUUGUUUUAAGUGUACAUAGGGGAAUUACUACAGCCUAGAAUCAUAAACUUUGUAAAACUUUGUUGAAGACUGCAUUUUUAUUCCCAUCCUCUUCUGCUCAAACAAAAAUGUAAAGGAAACAACACACAAAUAAAAGUACGCUAAAAUAAUCCCAUGUGUCUGGCUAAAAGAAAAGACAGGAAAUUCUUAAAAGUGUGGUUAUAAACUGAAAAAUGCCUUUAAACAUGGCUUCCUACUGUCUCACAUUUAUAUAUUCAUAAUUAUUUCACUAUCAAUAUUUUCUUUGCUUAUAUGUACACAAAUUACAUUAUUCAACAUGCCAAGACCACAUUCUCAGUCUGAUAUCUGGAAUACAAAGCCCUGUUGUCACUGGCUUCUACUACAGUGUUAAAGAUGGAACUGAGAGAAAUUCCUAGAUUCCCUCUCCUGGAAACUUUAUGAUUUAAGCCUACUUCUGACCUUUAGCAAUAUUUCCUUGGGGAGACUGAGGUCCAAAUUAAACUUUCAGGAAUUACAAGAGAAAUUUCAAUGAACUCUAGAGAUGCCAGAAAGACAAAUGACAAAAGUAGUUAAAGCAAAAGUGCUGAGCACGUCUUAAGUGCUUCAAUUAGAACUCUUGUUCCCCACAGGAUGUUCCAGAAAGGUGUAGAGGUGCUCACAGACCCUCACAAUGGUUUCAGACAUCUAGCCCACAAAGUAGAAUCCAAAGCCAAGAUUAGAGAGCUGUUACCUACAGAGAACAGAUGAUGUUAUGUGAGAGGACUAACAAAGUAGAAACAUUAUGGAGUUAUCUAGAAUCUAACUCAUAAUUUUGAAAGUCAGAUAAUGCCAACCUAUGUAGUUGAGGCACUCUGUCACAGUGGAAGACUGUGGUUAUUUCCAUCCACUCAGUGUCCACAGACCAUCAAGGUAAUUCAAUUUUUGUUUCAAAGGCUCCGUUUUUUUAAAAAAACAUAACCACUGUUGAAGAUGAGAUGUUAAUAAUGGAACAUAGGAUUAUUCUUAGUUCUACUAUUUACUGAAAAAUAGACAUACAAACUGUGUGGGGCAAAGACAAAGGCCAGAAUCCUGCUUGCUCCAUAAAAAUUGUUUCCUUCCUCAUUUAUCUCCUUGAAUCUUAAUGAGUUUUGCAGUUGUAGUGCACAUCUGUACAGCUAUGUAGACUAGCCUGGGACCCAGUGGGUAAGGUGUGCCUCCUCAGAAAUUAGAGUUUAAAAUACCUGAGGUCAAAGCAGAUGUAAAAAGUUGUCUCCUUCUGAAAGGUUUCCAGUUUUAUUGGCAUAUACUACGUUUGUCUGAGUGCACUUUCCAGGUCUGUGCUAUAAGCUAACACUACCAUUUAUCUUCUGGAUUCCCAGACUGUUUAAGUCAGACAGAGGUACAUGCCCGCUUCACCCUGAGCCCUUCUGCGAAUGGUCAGAAACAGAAUACUGUGUGAUCUCAAAAAGAUUCAGAGCAAACAUGGAAGACAGUUAUGUUUAAAUGACACUCUGGUUGGGCAGGCACUGAACGCAGUAACAGUUUCAACAUAGACACCUUAAACCUUCCAGUAUUCUAUUUUAGGUAAGUUGUUUUAUUGUCUCUAACCUGCUGAUUAUUUGUGAGAUGUAAAAAUGUGCAGAUACGUCUCCCUCAUCUGAUGUUGCUUCUUUGCUGCUAAGAAGGAGGUAAAACAUUACUCUUACUUAAAUUCUGCAAUGAAUGAGCACAACAGUUCAUUUCUAAAAAGGUACAUUUUUUUUUCUUUACAUGGAAUGUUUCUGAAUUCUUACUUAUUUUUCCUUAAAGUCUGUCAGAUGUGUAUCAUUCACUUUAAAGUUAUUUCCCACAUAGUUGCAUUCUUAAGGUAAAAAGAUCAAAAGGAUGGAUGGGUUCAGAGCACAAGCUGUAAACUAGUUAUAAUUCAAGAUGACUGACAAUAUUUAAAUCUUGUUCUGACAAACUAUAUAAAUGACUAAAGAACAUGGAUUCUUCAUGUGACUCUUUUAAACAAAUUUCUGCCUAGAUAUAGGUAGAACCAGGCUUAUCCUACAGCAAGAUAGAGGAUCUGGGCUCAGCACAGCAGAGCAGUACAGCCACAACUGUGUCUCACAAACAGAAGCACGUAAACCGGUCUUUUUUUCUCUGGUAAAUACAUACUUACAAUUACCUGAUAGUUUGCCAGCAGUGCUAUUGGUCAGCAAAGAUACCACUUAUAGCCACACCAGUGGACUCUACAUAGAGAGUUGGAACAUACAUAUUUCGUAUAUGAUGGCAGAUUUUUUUAUACAGAACUUCCUUUCACUUAAUUAUUAACUGCUAUAUAACCUGUCAAAGUGUGUAACAGACUGAGUGAACCACUUUCUGGGGCCAGCAUUUACUAGGAUAUUUGCAGAGCAUCAAAAUCAUACGUGGAAAGGAACUAGUUUGUCAUCUUAGGUCAACCAGCUGAUCACUUCAUCUUCCAGGAUCUUUCAAAAUGGUGCAUUUUAUUUUCUUGUGGGAAAAGAAAACUUUAACAAGAAAUUGAAUCCAUUACCCGUUUAGUGCUGUCAUACUGUUCUAUUGAGUUUUAUAGGCUGGUUCAAAAGUUUACAUAACUCUUAUUUGGUAUUAAAAUUUAUAGUGUUUUUUGAAUAAUUUCUGAAAUCCUUUUGGCUUCAUGCUUCUUCCAGUGUAUAAAUUUUUCCCUUUCCAGUGUCGUCCUCUUUCAGCAUAUAGAUCUUUCCUGGCAACAUUGAAGCAAAACAGUAUCAGACUUUAAAGUCAGAAUCUUUCCCCAUUUAAGUGCAUCCAAAUAAUCAUUUCCUCUCCAUUCUUGGUGUUUACAUGCAUCAAAUACUUGAAGAUAGUUAUGCUUCUUAUGAGCCACUUAGUUAAUCUCCAAUGUACAUACACAUAUUUUACUCCUUUAAUCUUUCUUCAUAAAUAAGUUUCUCUGUCCCCCUUAAUCAUACUUGCUAGUCCUCUCUAUAUUCUCUCCAAAACCUUUUAUUUCUGCUUUCAUUUUGGCUGUCGGAACCAUUGCUUUAAAAUUUCUUCAUUCUAAGUUUACUUAAGUGCCAAAAAAAAAAAAAAUUGCUAGAAAUAAAAAUAGUAAUAAGUUUCAGCAUAAAGCAAACAUAUUCCAGUUAAGGUAAUGUAUAUUAUAAGCACUCCUUUCCUUUUGCAAUUAAUAUUGGAUUUUCAUAGUGUAACAAAACAUCUUUAUUGCACUAGAAUACAGGAUGGGAUAUACUUUAUCUGUCUUUCAGAUUCUACUGUCCUUUCUAAACAUUUCUCACUGCCUGAAGCUUAAUUGAUCUGUUUUAGAUUACUAAAUCAGGGUGGAAUGAUGAAUCACAGCGUUGACUUUGCCAGAUAUGAAGAGAGUUUAAGACAUUCAGAACCUGAGCUCAUGUGAACCGACAUUAUCAGAAGUUUAUAAAUACAGACUUCUGCAUCUGGACAGAUGAUUUGUGAUAUCUUCCAUACUGCAUGAAAGCACAGGAUAACCAAAGCAGGCUUGUUAUUCCAUAGCAUACAAUAGUUCUUCAAAACCAGGAUUGUUAAGGUGGUGUAUUUAUCUGGAGACCUCCAGGAUUUUCAGACUAAGAUGCAGCUUUGUGUCUAACUGCAGCCUAGACAAUACAUAGAUGGGAAAAUUCUCAGUAAUUAAAUAUCAAGACCCCCAAGGCAUUACAUCAUUCUAUCAAGGAACUGAGUAUUCAAGAAGUUAGCAUCAGAGUCAACAUUUACACAAGACACAUGCACAUUAUGUAAUUAGAAGAUUAAGGUAAAAGUAAGACACUGCCUUUGGGAAAAUCUGUUUCUUAAUUGGCAGAAAGAUGAUUAAACUUGCCACAUCAGAUACUUUUGUUAAAUUGAAGAUCUUAAGAAAACAAACUCUUAUUUAUAAUUCUCAUCCCCUUAACUCCUGAAGAAGAGCUGGAAAACCACUGAAUUUCUUGUCAAAAGAAUCAUGAUUAAAAACCAACCAAAAAAAAAAAAAAAAAAAAACCCACCUUGCUGUGUUUAUUCAGUCCCUCCAAUAAUCUUAAGGCAGGUUUUCCUUGAGAUAUCAUAUUGUUCCUCAGGGAAACGUUUACUUCCUAGAAGCUUCUUCAAACAUAUUUUUUUCCUAACCAAGAAACACAAGAAUUAUAAUUGGAAGUGAUCUGCAAACCAUUUACAGAUGUGUGGCAAUGAGCUAAUCUCCUUUACCCACAGUUAGUAGAGCUUCUUCAUACCAGCAUUAGUGGUUCAGAAGAUCUGCUUCUCCACAAAGCUGUGCUCUUAGAAACACAGGGAGACUGGAGAAGUUGUUGAACCACCACAAGACUUGAGAAGCUAUGGAAUCACCUCUGUUGAGCUGGGAAUCAACACAAUGCUUUCUCAGAACAGCUUUUGAAACACCACUGUAAGCUACUGAAAGAUGCGUGAAUGUUUCCUGUGAACAGCAGGGAGUAUGCCCAGCAAAGGAUGGUGGGACUUACUUUGCUGGUAAAAUAUUUUCAUACAUGAAAGACAAAGCUUUUCCUCCUCAGCCAUGUAAGACUAUGACUUCCAGAAGUGAUAAAAUGAUCGGUAGUGCAACAUAGCUCACUGUGUACCUGGCAUUUGGUUAUCUGUAUUGUACUUUCUAUAUUAUUUCAGUGAACUGAAAAAUUAGUCCAUUAUUCUGAUGGCAGAGACAACCAGCUGUCUUCUUGAUAAGAUGUUGCCUGUUUUUCUCUCUUUUCCUUUUUAACCUGUUAAGCUGUUUAUGUAAUAAGUGAUAGCAAGUCAGACGGUUCAACUAAAGUAAAACACUGCUAAUGGAAUAUAGUGUGUUCAUUGUUUUAAAAAGUCUUCCAUAGAUAAUAAGUGUUUGUAAAAAAGAAACAUUUUGAAGUAUUAGUUUAUGCUUGCUUUCCAUUUCUAUUUUAAGCCUACAUAGAAUAAAAAAAAAGAUGGAGAGACAAGAAAGUAAAAAUGAUAGCACUCAGAUAGUCACAACACACUGAAAGAUUUUGUUUGACAAAAGCAUUGCAGUUCCUAUAAAAACAAAGCUUAGCAGAUUAAAAAUAAUAAUAAUAAUAAUUAGCCUGCUAAAAAAAUUCUCUUUUAUCAUUUUCCAUCAGAAAAUCAAAAAUAACUACAAUUGUUUUAUUUAAUCUGUUCCUGUAAAAUAGAUUUGCAGUAUUCUUUCUCCCGUAUUUUCAGAACUGAACAAUUUUUUACCAUAUGUGCUGUUUUAGUGCAAGUCUCCACUUUCAAAUAUUUUUAUUUUAUGAUGUCUCUUCUGCUUUCUUUCAUUUGCAGGUUUGUUCUUCAUUCUUGCAUCACAGCAGGAGUUGUACCCUUUAUCAGUGUUGAUGUCUUCUUAAAAGAGGGUCUGUGACCGCAUUUGAAGUAUCUCUACUACCAGUUGUGGUGAUUUCACCCUGAUGUGCAGCUAAACUACUACAUCAUUCUCCUGUUACUCCUACUCAAAGGAAGAGGGGGAGAAAAUGAAAUGAAAAAAGGCUCAGGGUUUGAGAUUACCGUCACUGAUCAGUGAUUAUGAGAAUAAAUAAACAUAGUGUGGAAAAAUCUUUGUAUAGUCAUUAAAAUACCCAAGUGUGGCAUUCUAGUAGAGAUUUAAUAAGGAGAAGAAACUGACCCUCAGACUUAGGAAUUCAUUUUCUUUACUUUUCUACAAGGACAGACAUACAUCUCUCUAUCUAAUUUAUAUAUACAUACGUAUAUAUAAAGCAAAGCUUUUAAAGAAUUUUUAUUUAUCAUUGUAAAAUCUCUACUUAGAAUUGGAAAGAGAUAGAAAAAAAAAAAGUAGACUUUGAUUAUCACCUUGAUACAUCUAAGUGUUUACAGUGGGAGCUAAGCUGUAGCAUAGCAAUGUAAUAAAAAUAGAAAGUAAAGUGACGUAAAAAGUGCACUGAGGACUACCUUAUAACUAAUUCCAAACGUUCAAGAAUAGUAAAUGGUUAACAGUGAUGCAAAAGGAAAUUACAGAAAAAACAAUCAAAAAGGACUCCUAAACAAUGAAAGGAAACAAAAAAUUAAUAAAGCAGAAGACUGAAAAACAGAUAAGGAGAGCAAAACGGUGAAAGAUUUCACAGAAGAUUAUGAAAUUAGCACAAAAAAUUUUUAAACAAUCCUAAGAAUAAACUGUCAUUGAAGAACAGAAUAGGGAUUGUGGAGGAUCAUUUUUUAAGGGAUGAGGUAAAAAAAGAUGGAAAAUUUAAACAAAUUCUUCGCAUAGCUGUUCAGAAAGAAAUGUCAGCUCGCAGAGCUGUAGAAAUAUAGGUACAUAUUUUCUGGAGCAAAAGGAAGGAUAAAACACCUAAGUAAACACACACUGUAUGUGACAUAGUACAGAUGACAAUCUUAGCAUGUAUCACAUAAAAUAAUUUCUCAGUGCUAAAGCAUAUGCACUUCAGAAUUCACAGAAAGGGACAAAAAACAGCAUCACUCUUCACAAGACUAAUUUACAUCACUUCACCAUUCAGAUAACUUUUCCUUUUCAAAAUGUUGCUUUGAAGUCACAUGGGCUACUUACAUGACUGACAACUCUAGGACUGCAGUGAAAAAGAAGUUUCAGUGGAAUUAAAGAAAAAGUAACGGGAAGUGUGCAGGAGGUAUCUGUGCAAAGAAGGGCCCCAUGCAACUCCUCUCACAGCUUGCCUCUAAAAACUCAAGAACUGGGUUUAAAUGAGAGAAACACCUUGUCUUUCUGGCAAGUUUUAGCAAUGCCUUCUAUGCAGGAAAGCAAUUUGCUUCAAGACCAAACAGAAAUGCACACUGGUUAAGAGUGAUAUAUUACAAAAACAACAGAGUAUAGCUAAAUUCAGCAAAUUAUGAAGCAAUGGCUAUUUCAGUGAGAGUCAGAGAUUCGUCUAAUGAGAUCCAGGAGUUUCAGCUCUGAACAAAAAGUGAUGAAUUCAAGCUUAAAUUCCUACAAGUAACCCCUAUUCUACAUUAAAGGUAACCAUCCAUCACAUUUUUAACUACAUCUACAAGGGAGUUCAGUAACUUCAGUCUAAAAAAUUCAAAACACAGACAUAUUUUCAGCCAAAACAAAGCCAGAGCCAGCAGUAAUUUUAAUUCUUUUCACUAAGUAUUGUUCUGGCCAUAAGACUAUGUGUAAAAUGGAUGUGGUUGAAGCCACAAUGGACUGUAAGGUUUAUAGGAUGAACAAGUUGCUAAGGAAGAGCUUGCAUGCCUAAAAACUUACAUUAUUCCAGCUGGAGUGCAUCCUGUAACAACAGUACUUCUUUAUUCUUCCAUAUCUUCCCUAAAAAGCUGAGCGCUCUGGCUGAAGACAGGCCAGGAGAGGCGCAUGGAUGUUUGCCUUCUUCAUGUUGCCUGAAAACCUAGUCCUUGUCUCAUCUGGGAACAGGACAGUCAUGCCAAGUGGAUGCAUCUCCCUGCAUCUGUGGAGAGACAGCAAAUGUGCUGUCUGGAAAGUAUCUGUGUUCUAGGAGGUGAGAAACUGGCUUGGGCUGUUUGAUUUCACUUCUACUCAGAGAAAUGGGGCAAUGAACUUUCUAAUAAACAGGUUUGGUUCACAGAGGGAUGACUCCACCAUCGAUCAUUCCACCAGAGGAAUAACUCAAGAUUCGAAAAUUUUAACCAGAUAAUUUUAUCAAAAGAAUAAUAAAAAAAAAAAAAAAAAAAAAAAAAAAAAAAGGACCAAGUAAUGACUUAAAACAAUUGCUGUGAUAUUACAUCUACAUAGGAUCUACUGGCCUAUAUGUCAGUUUUAAUCUGCCACUGGUUAAAUCCUACAUACUGAGCAAAAUAACUUACCAACACAAUACAUGCAAAGUAAAUAAAUACUCAAGCAACACUCUAUGUCCCACAUCCACUCAGAUACCAGAAGUGUGUAUUUCCAGUCUGUGAAAUACAAUGAUAAGUAAAAACAGUGAUUCUCCAUGAGUGCAUUACUCAGAAGAAGCAAUGUUAAGGCAGUCAGUGUGAUCUUUAAAAAUCACUCCCAGUAAAUAAAUAAAUAAGCACCUCUACCUGCACAGCUAUCUGAAGACAAGUUAACAAAUUCUGUUUUCCACUUAUUAGCAAAUCAGUUGUUCUGUAAAGAAUACAUGAUCAAAACCUACAGCAACAGCUGGCACAUGUAUAAAGCGGGGCAAAAAAAUUAAGAUGAAGUAUUUCUGACAAAAAAAUAUAUGAAACAAAACAAAGUUGAAAACUGAAGCAGAUAUCAGAUAACCAUUUUGUCAUUUAUAAAAUACUUUUUCAGGACAAAAGGGGUUGCCAUACCUUUUCACUCAGCAUAUCCUCAGAGUCACAUAUUAAGCUGAUCAAAUCCGAGGGUACUGCAGUAAGCUGAAGCUUGAAGCUGCCUCCACUUCCUUCAUUUCGUUUACAGUUUUGUUUGGGGGUUGUUCUUUUUUUUCUUUUUAGCUUGCAGAAACCUGAGGGAAAAAAUAUUUUGGGGGUUACUAUCGAAAUAGUUUAUUCAGUAGUCAAUUAACUGAAAAAAACAAAUAGUUCUAAACUGAUCUCUUAUAUACCAUGCCCCUUUUUAUAUCAUAGUUAUUGGUUCCAUUCUGUUGUUAUAUUUUACUGAAAACAUUAUGAAUAUAAAUGAGAAUAGUGCACAAAGAGCAGAGGUGAAGAUAUGUCCCAUUAGAAAUCUGCUUUUUUACUUACAUUUACUGAGGUUAUCAAGUACCUCUUUAUGAACUCUUCAUCCCUUUCUAAAAGGUAAAGUUGAAAUUGGGAAAUAUAUUGCAUCAGUUAUUGGGCAUUCUGGGGUUUUCCAUUAUUUUAAAAACCUCCUAUGUGCCUAAUUAUAGCUAAUAAGUACUGUUUAGAAACAUAGCAGAGAACUCAUGAUUUCCUUCUUCACCCAAUGCCCAGAAAAUCCAUGUCCGAGAACAAAAUCUUGAAGGUAUUUGUGAUCAUGACCCAUUCUCAUUAUCUGUAUCCAUUCUAAGAUUUUUAUAUUAUAUGAAUGAAUAUUUUAAAGUGAAAUUAUAGUAUUCAAUGGCAAAUUACAACUACAUGUGACCAAGAGAGGAUUAAACCCAUCAUUUUGCUUAAGAGCUCUGAUGGCUGGAGUAAUUGGAUGAUAGCUGUAGGGCAUCUUUUUGGUCUGUAAUUAGGUCAUUUCUUUCUCAUCCCUUCACUGUGUGUAUAAUUACGAAUUAAUUUGAAAUCCCACUGUGAGUAAAGAAAGUCAGUUUAAUAUAACGGAAGUGCAAAAGCCACAAUAUAUUACUUUUUAAAAACUGCUUAUUUCAAAAUACUCAGUCUGGCCAAAAGUUAUAUCCCUAUGUACUGCAAGGCUUAUAUUUGGUUUCUUUGCUAACUUUGUACAAGUGCUGCUCUGAAAGUAAUGCCUCCUGUUUUAUUAUGUUGGUGUGCAAUGUCAGAGGUGGAUUUUGGUGGUACAUCAGGAGAGGUUGAACCUUCACACCAGUAUUCCACUACAUUUUGUUGCUGUGUGACAGAUGGCAGCAGAGGGUCAGUCUGACAAAAUGGCUUCUGACACGGAAGCAUCUGAGAAGAAAAGAUGUGGAACUGAAUUCCUCCAUGUGGUAAAAAAAUUGCAUCCAUUGACUUUCACUGAUGCUUGCUGAACAUUUAUGGAGAUCAAACAGUGGAUGUGAGCUCAGUGAGGUUGUGGGUAAUGUGUUUCAACAGCAGUGAUAGUGGCAGUGGUUCACCUCCACCGGUGCAAAUUUUUACAAGAACAGCAAGCAGGUUCUCGUUCAUCGUUGGCAAAAAUGCAUAGCUAAUGACAGUGAAUAUGCAGCAAAAUAAAGUUUGUAUUUGAGAAUUUUCUCUAUGAAAUAGUGUUAUUGUGCUCUUUGUAUUUGUUGCAGUUUCUAUGGAAAUAAACAGCAAGUAUUACUUUUGAAUCAAUCUACGUUCCUGGAUGUAUUUUCUCUCUUAAAAUAAAUGAAUUUUCAAAGCACCACACUUUGCUCCAGUAUCUGUCAGUAGGUGUCAACAGCACAAAAAGGUAGUGGAAAGAAAUAAAAAGUAACCAUGAGAGUCUUGACAGACAGUAUUAGCAUCAGAGAACUUAGAGGCCACUCUCAACACAGUCAACCAUUUUAUCCUUUAGUCCUGCCAUUAUUUCCUUCCACUGAAACUACCUUUCUGCUUUUACCCUGAAAGUGUUAAACACUG